CCUACGGGUGGCAGCAGUGAGGAAUAUUGGUCAAUGGACGCGAGCCUGAACCAGCCAAGUAGCGUGAAGGAUGACUGCCCUACGGGUUGUAAACUUCUUUUAUAUGGGAAUAAAGUGUUGCACGUGUGGCUUUUUGUAUGUACUUUAUGAAUAAGGAUCGGCUAACUCCGUGCCAGCAGCCGCGGUAAUACGGAGGAUCCGAGCGUUAUCCGGAUUUAUUGGGUUUAAAGGGAGCGUAGAUGGGUUGUUAAGUCAGUUGUGAAAGUUUGCGGCUCAACCGUAAAAUUGCAGUUGAUACUGGCAGUCUUGAGUACAGUUGAGGUAGGCGGAAUUCGUGGUGUAGCGGUGAAAUGCUUAGAUAUCACGAAGAACUCCGAUUGCGAAGGCAGCUCACUAAACUGCAACUGACACUGAUGCUCGAAAGUGUGGGUAUCAAACAGGAUUAGAUACCCGGGUAGUC
rnacentral:rRNA from 1 species